UUCUCUCUCUCUCUCUCUCUCUCUCUCUCACACACACACACACACAGAGAGAGAGAGAGAGAGAGAGAGAGAA